AGGUUCCAUGUGAACAGCAGUUGAACAUGGGUCAGUUGGUCCUGAGAGAUGGGCGAGUGCUGUUCUGAAGGGACAGGCAGUGGCCUCUGUUGCCCUCAGCCAAUUGAAAGGGAGUCAGGUUCAGAUCCCUGGAGUGGUGGAGAUGGGCGCUAUGAGGCAUCUGAUGCAGUAAUGUGACUGAUCCCAGGGAAGCCAUCAGCAGUCCUGAGGAGAGUUCUCUUUUUGUAUGAAGGGUAGGGCGCCCUGGAAGGGGUUUGCUCCAAGUGAGAUGCUGUGCCUUGGAAAGCACUUAGGCUCUGGCACUCUGGUGAGCUCUGGAUGACCCUUGGAAAUCUGGGGGAGAGGGUAUUUACACACCUUUACAAACU
rnacentral:ncRNA from 1 species